rnacentral:rRNA from 1 species
CGAGGGGGGCGAGCGUUGUUCGGAAUUAUUGGGCGUAAAGGGUGCGUAGGCGGUUUGGUAAGUCUGAUGUGAAAUCUAUGGGCUCAACUCAUAGUCUGCAUCGGAAACUGCCGGGCUUGAGUGUGGGAGAGGUGAGUGGAAUUCCUGGUGUAGCGGUGAAAUGCGUAGAUAUCAGGAGGAACACCUGUGGCGAAAGCGGCUCACUGGACCAUAACUGACGCUGAUGCACGAAAGCUAGGGGAGCAAACAGGAUUAGAUACCCUGGUAGUCCUAGCCCUAAACGAUGACUGCUUGGUGUGACGGGUACCCAAUCCCGCCGUGCCGUAGCUAACGCGUUAAGCAGUCCGCCUGGGGAGUACGGUCGCAAGGCUG